CUGGGCGUAGCUCAGAAGGGAGAGCGCCGGAAUCGGGGUCCGGAGGUCGAGGGUUCAAGUCCCUCCGCCCAGACCA
rnacentral:tRNA from 2 species